UACGAAGGGGGCUAGCGUUGUUCGGAAUCACUGGGCGUAAAGCGCACGUAGGCGGACAUUUAAGUCAGGGGUGAAAUCCCGAGGCUCAACCUCGGAACUGCCUUUGAUACUGGGUGUCUUGAGUAUGGUAGAGGUUGGUGGAACUGCGAGUGUAGAGGUGAAAUUCGUAGAUAUUCGCAAGAACACCAGUGGCGAAGGCGGCCAACUGGACCAUCACUGACGCUGAGGAGCGAAAGCGUGGGGAGCGAACAGG
rnacentral:rRNA from 1 species